AUGCUCCAGGCAGCCACACGAGCACCAGCCCUGGCUUCCAGCCAGGGGAAGGAGAUGCUGCUCGCACCUUCCCAAACCUGCGAAAGAGAAGGGGCCAGGGAGCAAAAACCUCUCUCCGAAAGCUCCUCGGCGCUGGGAGGUGCGAGAAGCGCCCCCCUCCCCGUGGCACCAGGUGGGCACCGAACUGCAGCUCCUCUGCGAAGGCGAACGCCCUCGCUGAGCACACCUCAUCGCCUUCCUGAGGUUCCUCCGCGGGGAAAAAGCCUACUGAAAACAAAAUACAAAUAUUUAGGCUCGUUUCCACCCGAGCAAACGCGUAGAGGGGACAGCUGCGGUGUUAGCUGGUGCGGUAUCAUCUCACGAGGUGCAGUGGGGAAAAAAAUCCAGCCCCUGGGAAAUUCCUUGGGGUGUGGAGGCUCAGGAUGCUAUCGUGUGCUUUACACCAAUUUUGCAGAGCUUUUUCCAGCUUGGCAGCGCUGUGCCCCAAGCUGCCAGGACAGCUGGGCCCUCCAGGCAAACCCUCCUGCAGCUGGGUGGCUCCACGGCGAGGAUCAGCCCUGGAGCACCCGCUUUUGGGUGCCUUUUGGGAAGGGCUGCAGCAGCCCCGCUGAUCUCCAGCCCCAAAUCUCCCCGUGCUGGGGACCAGCACAGCUUUCCCAGUUGAGGCUGGGCGCACACAGCCACACGGACAGUGGGGGGCUUUUGGAGACCUGCAGCCCUUCAGAGGGAGCUGAAGACGGACACAAGCCAGAAAUUCCCCCAUCGGUGGCGGUCAGGUGGAAGCGCAAUUUCCACGGGAAAAACAGGCGAGGCUCUGCAGGGCUGCCUGCAUCAGCUCCGACAGGGAAUUCCUCCAGGGUGUGCCAGAAACCCAGGCUUGGAGGCGGCUCGGGAGGAAGGAUGCUGCCGUUGCCAGGACACGGGCUGGAAGCGGGGUUCAUUCGGGGUCAGAAACCAGCCUCAGUCUGCGCCCAGAGAGUAAAAGGGAGAGGAGAAGGGGCAGGGGGUGAGGGAUGGGCACCUCUGGGAGAGAGGUGUCACUCAGCCGCUGCCUGA
rnacentral:lncRNA from 1 species